rnacentral:rRNA from 1 species
UACGGAGGAUGCGAGCGUUAUCCGGAUUUAUUGGGUUUAAAGGGUGCGUAGGCGGGAUGCCAAGUCAGCGGUAAAAAUGCGGUGCUCAACGCCGUCGAGCCGUUGAAACUGGCGUUCUUGAGUGGGCGAGAAGUAUGCGGAAUGCGUGGUGUAGCGGUGAAAUGCAUAGAUAUCACGCAGAACUCCGAUUGCGAAGGCAGCAUACCGGCGCCCUACUGACGCCGAGGCACGAAAGCGUGGGUAUCGAACAGG